rnacentral:rRNA from 1 species
GACGAACGCUGGCGGCGUGCUUAACACAUGCAAGUCGAACGGGCCUGUCUUCUUUUUUGGGGGUGGGUUGAGUGGCGAACGGGUGAGUAUCACGUGAGUAACCUGCCCUUCGGUCCUGGAUAACCGCUUGAAAGGGCGGCUAAUACGGGGUGGUCCGGUUGGUCCGCAUGGGCUGGUCGGGAUAGAUUCACUGUUUUUGGUGUUUCGGCGGGGGAUGGGCUCGCGGCCUAUCAGCUUGUUGGUGGGGUGAUGGCCUACCAAGGCGGUGACGGGUAGCCGGCCUGAGAGGGUGGGCGGCCACACUGGGAUUGAGAUACGGCCCAGACUCCUGCGGGAGGCAGCAGUGGGGGGUAUUGCACAAUGGGCGGAAGCCUGAUGCAGCGACGUCGCGUGAGGGAUGGAGGCCUUCGGGUUGUGAACCUCUGUUUCCGGUGGUGAAGGCCCUGUCCGUGUGGUGGGGUUGACGGUAGCCGGGGAUGAAGCGCCGGCUAACUACGUG